UACGUAGGGUGCAAGCGUUGUCCGGAAUUAUUGGGCGUAAAGAGCUUGUAGGCGGUUUGUCGCGUCUGCUGUGAAAUUUCGGGGCUCAACCCCGAACUUGCAGUGGGUACGGGCAGACUAGAGUGUGGUAGGGGAGACUGGAAUUCCUGGUGUAGUGGUGAUAUGCGUAGAUAUCGGGAGGAACACCUGUGGCGAAGGCGGCUUUCUGGGCCUUACCUGACGCUGAGGCGCGAAAGCUAGGGGAGCAAACAGG
rnacentral:rRNA from 1 species